rnacentral:rRNA from 1 species
GACGAACGCUGGCGGCGUGCUUAACACAUGCAAGUCGAGCGGAAGGACCCUGCUUUUGCGGGGUGCCCGAGUGGGGAGCGGGUGUGUAACACAGGAGUAACCUGCCCUUGACUGGGUGAUAUCUUCAGGAGACUGCGGCUAAUACAUGAGAGGAGCUCCUGCUACAGGGGGGGGGUCGGAAAGUUUCGGCGGUGCUGGCUCGACUCGCGGCUUACCAGCUGGUUGGGGGGGUAGUGGCUUACCAGGUCUUUGACGGCUAGCCGGCCUGGGAGAGUGGACAGCCUCCUUGGGCCUGCGGUACGGCCCAGACUCCUACGGUAGGCAGCAGUGGGGAGUCUUGCACAGUGGGCGGACGCCUGUUGCAGCGACCCCGCGUGCGUGAUGACGGCCUUCGGGUUGUAAACCGCUUUCGCCUGUGACGAAGCGUGAUUGACGUUAAUGGGUAAAGAAGCACCGGCUAACUACGUG